UACGAAGGGGGCGAGCGUUGUUCGGAAUCACUGGGCGUAAAGAGUGCGUAGGCGGCGAGGCAAGUUAGAAGUGAAAGCCCCGGGCUCAACCUGGGAAUUGCAUUCGAGACUGAAUAGCUAGGGUACGGUAGAGGGAAGUGGAAUUUCCGGUGUAGCGGUGAAAUGCGUAGAUAUCGGAAGGAACAUCAGUGGCGAAAGCGACUUCCUGGACCAGUACCGACGUUCAGGCACGAAAGCGUGGGGAGCAAACAGG
rnacentral:rRNA from 1 species